rnacentral:rRNA from 1 species
UACAGAGGGGGCAAGCGUUAUUCGGAUUCAUUGGGCGUAAAGGGUGCGUAGGCGGCGCGGUAAGUCGGGUGUGAAAUCUCGGAGCUUAACUCCGAAACUGCAUUCGAUACUGCCGUGCUUGAGGACUGGAGAGGAGACUGGAAUUUACGGUGUAGCGGUGAAAUGCGUAGAUAUCGUAAGGAAGACCAGUGGCGAAGGCGGGUCUCUGGACAGUUCCUGACGCUGAGGCACGAAGGUCAGGGUAGCAAACGGG